rnacentral:rRNA from 1 species
AUGGACCGCGACGCGCUCCGCAUGGUCUGCUCGCCCCAGUUCUGGCGCAUGGGCGUCCUGUGGACCCUCUCCCUCCUCUACUCCUACCUCCUCCUCUUCCUCCGUGGCCGGACCGCCGCCCCUCGCCGCCGGGAAGACGUAGGUCGCGGCGGCCGUCCCAUCUGCGUGGUCACCGGGGCGACGUCGGGGCUCGGCCGGGCGGCUGCGGCGGCGCUGGCACGGGAGGGAUACCAUGUCGUGCUCGCUGGGCGUUCUGCGCAAUUGCUGAGUGAGACUGCUAAAGAAAUUCAUAGGCAACAGCCGGAUGCCUGUCUUGAAGCCUUUCAAGUGGACUUGUCAUCCCACAGGUCAAUUAAGAAGUUUGAAGCUUCGCUCAAUCAGUGGAUUCGGGAUUCGAAUCUGGAGCCUUCCAUUCAGCUUUUGAUUAAUAAUGCUGGGAUGCUUGCAAAAUCACACAGAGUUACUGAGGAUGGGAUUGAUGAAGUGAUGCAGACAAACUACAUUGGUCCAUUUAUCCUGACCAGCAUUCUUUUACCACUGCUGAAGAACAGCCUGGUACCUUCCCGGGUGGUUAAUCUAACAUCUUUCACACACAGAUGUGUGUCAGAAAUUGAUGUGUCCGAGGAGGCACUGCAAGGAGUGAAGUUUGGUCAGCAUUCAGUUGGGGGAAGUUACCCCUUAGCUAGUACUUACGAGUAUACCAAAUUUUGUUUACUUAUGUUCUCAUAUGAACUUCAUCGACAACUUCACAUCUCUUCUGGUAUCUCUGUCAUGGCUGCGGAUCCAGGUGUGGUAGAAACACGCAUCAUGCGGGAGCUCCCUCCAUGCCUUUCUCGGUUCGCGUUCUUUAUUCUGCGCACCCUGAAUCUCCUACAGCAGCCAGAUACGGGGAUUGAUGCUGUCCUUGACGCAGCCUUGGCGCCGCGGGAAGCAUCUGGGAAGUAUUUUUUUGGAGGGAAGGGAAGAACCAUCAGGUCUUCCGUGCUGUCCUAUGACAUCGAGAUAGCCAAGAAGCUGUGGGCAGCAUCUUCAGCGUUGCUCCGGGAACUGCGGCUUAGAGACUGUGAAUCGAGGACUGGUUGA